AAAGAUUACAAAUCACAAGAUAAAGACGAUAAUGAAAUUACAGAGACACAAUGAUCUAUCCAUAACCUAUAAAUAGAACAGGAAAGGAUUUUACAGAUACAUUGUUUAAACCAAAAACAUCUUGUCUCGAGACUGAUUUAGCUCUCGAAAAACCAUAAGGACUUCCCGCAUACCAAAGGAUGAUAACGAGUUUCAACACAAAUGGCCAUAACAAGAGAAUGGAACUUGGCCUUCUCCGCAUAAGAUGCAUCUUUCUCUAUGAGUGUUUUGUCAAGGGUCUCCCGGAUGAAACCGUAAGAUAGACGAGACCCACUUAGAACCUUUCAACGCCAUAGCAAGCUGGUAAUUAAGCUAAACAAAGCUUAAUACCAAAUGAGAUAAUCCAGACAUAAACAAAGCUCAACCCAUAACUAACCAAGAGAAAUAGUUGAGGAAGAGAAACUUAGCCCAAACGAAGGAAACGACUGUCCAAAAAAAGAAAACUAGAGAACCUAAUCACCUGAUGUUACCAGAUCUCACACGAGUACAAUCUGAUCAGAGAAACUAGGUUACAAAAAGGCGAAGACAGUGGAGGCCAGGGAGAUACCAAGUUAAAAGAGAAUCAUUCUAAUGUUGCACAGAUCUGCAUCCCAUAACCAAAUCUCAUCAGAUCUAAGACUCAAAACUUAGUUUCUCACCAACACCAAAAACUUCCACGCUUCCUAGACUAAGAAAGACAAAGCUGGAAUUGAAAAGCUAGAUAAAAAAACAACGGAGGUGACCGACGCCGGCGCUAUAUGAGCCACCACGCGCCGGUCACAAGCUUGACGGCCGCUUCUUGUUGUUCUUUCUUCUCUUCUUUUUUUUCUCUCUGCGACGCUUGGGUUUUUUUCUCUUUGAAACAGAAUGAUCGUUAAAAUACAGAAUUGUUUAAAUAAACAUGAAAUUAUUUUUGUUUGGUUGCCAGGGUGACGCCAGACAUGCAUGCCAUUGGAGAUGCUCUAACAGCGAAGAAACAAAGAACCCACAAAUGAUAUAUGCCUUGGCUGAUACGGUAGGGUAUUAGAAAAAAAAAAAAAAAAAACUAGAAGAAUACAAAGCGUCUUAUUUAGAUUUUUUUUUAAAAUUUUUUUAAUGCACUUUAUUAAAGAGGAAUUGGAUGGAUGAGCAAAGAAGAGAUGACUUGUUUGAGCUUUCCGAAAUAAGGAUCAGUGAAUUCAUCACCCUCUUUGUAAAACAGAUCGAUGGGUCGCGAAACGUUGAGGCAUCGCACCAGAAUCGGGCGUGGCACAACGGUUGUCGUUAAGUACUCCUCCAUUAUUAUUUUGUAAUAAUCAGUAGCAAUCUUGUUCAAC
rnacentral:lncRNA from 1 species